ACCUGGUAAAGAAACCCCGGCUAACUCCGUGCCAGCAGCCGCGGUAAUACGGAGGGGGUUAGCGUUGUUCGGAAUUACUGGGCGUAAAGCGCGCGUAGGCGGGUUGUUAAGUUAGAGGUGAAAUCCCGGGGCUCAACCCCGGAACUGCCUUUAAUACUGGCAACCUAGAGUUCGAGAGAGGUGAGUGGAAUUCCGAGUGUAGAGGUGAAAUUCGUAGAUAUUCGGGGGAACACCAGUGGCGAAGGCGGCUCACUGGCUCGAUACUGACGCUGAGGUGCGAAAGUGUGGGGAGCAAACAGGAUUAGAUACCCUGGUAGUCCACACCGUAAACGAUGAAUGCCAGUCGUCGGGUAGCAUGCUAUUCGGUGACACACCUAACGGAUUAAGCAUUCCGCCUGGGGAGUACGGUCGCAAGAUUAAAACUCAAAGGAAUUGACGGAAGGGCGAAUU
rnacentral:rRNA from 1 species